CCUACGGGUGGCAGCAGUGAGGAAUAUUGGUCAAUGGCCGAGAGGCUGAACCAGCCAAGUCGCGUGAGGGAAGACGGCCCUACGGGUUGUAAACCUCUUUUGUCGGGGAGCAAAACGAUUCACGUGUGACUCUUUGAGAGUACCCGAAGAAAAAGCAUCGGCUAACUCCGUGCCAGCAGCCGCGGUAAUACGGAGGACGCGAGCGUUAUCCGGAUUUAUUGGGCUUAAAGGGUGCGAAGGCGGGCGUUCAAGUCAGCGGUAAAAUCGCGGGGCUCAACCCCGUACUGCAGUUGAAACUGGAUGCCUUGAGUGCGCGAGAGGUAGGCGGAAUGCGUGGUGUAGCGGUGAAAUGCAGAGAUAGCACGCAGAACCCCGAUUGCGAAGGCAGCAUACCGGCGUGCGACUGACGCUCAUGCAUGAAAGCGUGGGUAUCGAACAGGAUUAGAUACCCCAGUAGUC
rnacentral:rRNA from 1 species